UACGGGGGGAGCAAGCGUUGUUCGGAUUUACUGGGCGUAAAGGGCGCGUAGGCGGUCAGCACAAGUCAGUUGUGAAAUCUCCGGGCUUAACUCGGAACGGUCAAGUGAUACUGUCGGACUAGAGUACAGAAGGGGCAACUGGAAUUCUCGGUGUAGCGGUGAAAUGCGUAGAUAUCGAGAGGAACACCUGCGGCGAAGGCGGGUUGCUGGGUUGAUACUGACGCUGAGGCGCGAAAGCCAGGGGAGCGAACGGG
rnacentral:rRNA from 1 species